rnacentral:tRNA from 1 species
CUACCGAGGGUUCGAAUCCCUCUCUCUCCG